rnacentral:rRNA from 1 species
AGAUUAUAUAUUUCUUGUUAAUUAAUUUAGUUAAAAAUUUUGUGAGUGAAAAAUAGUUUUUAAUAGAAAAUAAGUAGUUUUAAAUGAAGAAAAAAUAUAACUAUAGAGAAGAGUACUGUAAAGGAAAGAAAAAAUUAAAAAGAAAGAAAAAAUUAAGUUUUGUACCUUGUGUAUAAGGGAAAAUUUAUAUAAUUAAUAUAAUAUUAAGGUCUCGAAAAAAAAAUAGCUAAUUUUAUAGAAGAGUUUUUGUAGGAUAAGAAUUUUUAAUAUAAAAUUAAAGAUGAAAUAUUAGACGAGUUUUAUUAUAUCUAGUUUUUUAAAAAAAAAUUUAAUUUAGUUUUUGUAUUUACAAUAGUACAGAGGUAUAAAGUAGAAAGGGUAAGCUUUUUAUUAUAGAAAAUGAAAUAGAAAGAUAGAUGGAAUAAUAUAAAUGAUCUAGGCUUAAAAGUAGCUAAGUUUUUAGAGUGUUUUAACUAAGUUAUUUGGAGAAAAGAAAGUAAUUCUUUUCUUAAAUAUUAAAAAUUUAUUAGAAAUAUAAAAUGAUAAAAUAAAAUGAUUUUAUUAGUAGAAAAAUUAUUGUGGGGAAAAGAAAAAAAGGAAAGAUAAAGGUUAAAAGUUAAUAAUAGAAAGAUAAAUUAGAGGAAUUCGGCAAAGUUUUUUCUUGCCUGUUUAUCAAAAACAUGUCUAUUUGAAGUUAUAAGAAGUCUAGCCUGCCCACUGAUUUGUAAAAAUUUAAGGGCCGCGGUAUUAUGACCGUGCAAAGGUAGCAUAAUCAUUAGGUUUUUAAAUGAGAUCUUGUAUGAAUGGUUGGACAAAGGGGAAACUAUCUUUAAAAAUAUUUCUUUAAUUUUACUUUUAAGUGAGAAGGCUUAAAUGUUUUAGGAGGACGAUAAGACCCUAUAAAGCUUUACAUUAAAGUUAUAUAAAAUUAAAUUUAGAUUAUAAAAGUUUUGUAUGGUUAUUUGUUUUGUUGGGGAGAUAAAAGUAAAAAUUAUAUUAACUGCUUAAAAAAUAAACACAUAUAGGUGUACUAAAAUUUAUAGAUCCUAUAUAUAUAGAUUUCCAGAUUAAGUUACUUUAGGGAUAACAGUGCAAUUUUUUUUAAGAGUUCAUAUCGAAAAAAGAGUUUACAACCUCGAUGUUGAAUUAAAAUGUCUUUAUAAUGUAGCUGUUAUAUUAGAGGGUCUGUUCGACCUUUAAUUUUUU